rnacentral:rRNA from 1 species
GACGAACGCUGGCGGCGUGCCUAAUACAUGCAAGUCGAACGCAGUGGGGACGGGUGAGUAACACGUGGGUAACCUCCCAUCAGAGGGGAUAACACUUGGAUACAGGUGCUAAACCGCUACUGAUGGAUGGACCCGCGGGGCAUUAGCUAGUGGGUGAGGUAACGGCUCACCUAGGCUACGAUGCAUAGCCGGUCUGAGAGGGUGAUCGGCCACACUGGAACUGAGACACGGCCCAGACUCCUACGGGAGGCAGCAGUAGGGAAUCUUGCGCAAUGGACGCAAGUCUGACCGAGCCACGCCGCGUGAGUGAAGAAGGUUUUCGGAUCGUAAAGCUCUGUUGGUAGAGAAGCGGUAUCUAACCAGAAAGCCACGGCUAACUACGUGCCAGCCGCCGCGGUAAUUC